rnacentral:sRNA from 1 species
UCGACUCCACCGGUCGCCGGUGACACCAC